rnacentral:rRNA from 1 species
AAAAAGCUCGUAGUUGAAUCUGUGUCCCACACUGUCGGUUCACCGCUCGCGGUGUUCAACUGGCAUGUCUGUGGGACGUCCUACCGGUGGGCUUAGCCCGUCAAAAGGCGGCCCAACUCAAAAUCCUACCACGGUGCUCUUCACCGAGUGUCGAGGUGGGCCGGUACGUUUACUUUGAACAAAUUAGAGUGCUUAAAGCAGGCUCAUUCGCCUGAAUAUUGUGUGCAUGGAAUAAUGGAAUAGGACCUCGGUUCUAUUUUGUUGGUUUUCGGAAUUCCGAGGUAAUGAUUAAUAGGGACAACUGGGGGCAUUCGUAUUGCGACGUUAGAGGUGAAAUUCUUGGAUCGUCGCAAGACGGACAGAAGCGAAAGAAAUGUGUUUUCAUCAAUCAAGAACGAAAGUUAGAGGUUCGAAGGCGAUCAGAUACCGCCCUAGUUCUAACCAUAAACGAUGCCAGCUAGCGAUCCGCCGAAGUUCCUCCGAUGACUCGGCGGGCAGCUUCCGGGAAACCAAAGCUUUUGGGUU